AACGAACGCUGGCGGCAGGCCUAACACAUGCAAGUCGAACGCCGUAGCAAUACGGAGUGGCAGACGGGUGAGUAACACGUGGGAACAUACCCUUCGGUUCGGAAUAACUCAGGGAAACUUGAGCUAAUACCGGAUACGUCCGCGAGGAGAAAGAUUCAUCGCCGGAGGAUUGGCCCGCGUCUGAUUAGCUUGUUGGUGAGGUAACGGCUCACCAAGGCGACGAUCAGUAGCGGUCUGAGAGGAUGAUCAGCCACACUGGGACUGAGACACGGCCCAGACUCCUACGGGAGGCAGCAGUGGGAAUCUUGCGCAAUGGGCGGAAGCCUGACGCAGCAACGCCGCGUGCGGGAGGAAGGCCUUCGGUUGUAACCG
rnacentral:rRNA from 1 species